rnacentral:lncRNA from 1 species
UCAAUACAUAAGUGAUGGGCUAAAGUUGAUACUCUCUAAUGAAGGUGAGGGAGUCCCUUUUAUAAAAUAAGGGUUCGCUCCUCAAUACAUGAAUAUGGGUGCCCUAUAAUGAAAGUGAGGGAGUCCCUUUUAUAGAAUAAGGGUUCGCUCCUCAGUACAUAAAUAACGGGCUAAGUCCCUCAAGUAUUUUUCAUAAGGCCCAGUUGCGAAAGCCCAUUAUAUGGUACAUCCCCCAAGUCUUCAGUCAAUAGAGUUUGUUGGAUGGAGACUUCAAAUUUAAUCCAUGUAUGGGCCGAAGUGGCGGUUGUUCGGAGGCGGUCUUUGUAGACCAUGCACUGAAGCUUUGUAGGUGAAGCUUUGAAAGUGAAGCUUUGAAGCUGGAGCUUUUGUAAAUGAAGCUGGAGCUUUUGUAAAUGAAGCUUUCUAAGCUGAUUGACAUGAGUGAUGCUUAUGAAUGUUUAUGUUGAUUGACAUGAGUGAUGCUCAUGGAUGUUGACAUGAGUGAUACUCAUGAAUGUUGUGAAGAGGGAUGCUCAUGAAUGUUUAUGUAUGAUUAACAUGAGUGAUGCUCAUGAAUGUUUAUAUAUGAUUGACAUGAAUGAUGCUCAUGUAUGAUUUUUUGGAGUACUGGACGUACUCUUGAUCACCUAGUUGGUGAUAAUAGCGGCA